rnacentral:rRNA from 1 species
GAUGAACGCUGGCGGCGUGCCUAAUACAUGCAAGUCGAGCGAACGGACGAGAAGCUUGCUUCUCUGAUGUUAGCGGCGGACGGGUGAGUAAAACGUGGAUAACCUACCUAUAAGACUGGGAUAAAUUCGGGAAACCGGAGCUAAUACCGGAUAAUAUUUUGAACCGCAUGGUUCAAAAGUGAAAGACGGUCUUGCUGUCACUUAUAGAUGGAUCCGUGCUGCAUUAGCUAGUUGGUAAGGUAACGGCUUACCAAGGCAACGAUGCAUAGCCGACCUGAGAGGGUGAUCAGCCACACUGCAACUGAGACACGGUCCAGACUCCUACGGAAGGCAGCAGUAGGGAAUCUUCCGCAAUGGGCGAAAGCCUGGCGGAGCAACGCCGCGGGAGUGAUGAAGGACUUCGGAUCGUAAAACUCUGUUAUUAGGGAAGAACAUAUGUGUAAGUAACUGUGCACAUCUUGACGGUACCUAAUCAGAAAGCCACGGCUAACUACGUG